rnacentral:rRNA from 1 species
GACGAACGCUGGCGGCGUGCUUAACACAUGCAAGUCGAACGGAAAGGCCCCCACCUUGGUGGGGGUGCUCGAGUGGCGAACGGGUGAGUAACACGUGGGUGAUCUGCCCUGUACUUCGGGAUAAGCUUGGGAAACUGGGUCUAAUACCGGAUAGGACCAUGGUUUAGUGUCUCAUGGUGGAAAAAUAUUGUUUUGGUGCAGGAUGAGCUCGCGGCCUAUCAGCUUGUUGGUGGGGUAAUGGCCUACCAAGGCGUCGACGGGUAGCCGGCCUGAGAGGGUGGAAGGCCACAUUGGGACUGAGAUACGGACCAGACUCCUACGGGAGGCAGCAGUGGGGAAUAUUGCACAAUGGGCGGAAGCCUGAUGCAGCGACGCCGCGUGGGGGAUGACGGCCUUCGGGUUGUAAACUCCUUUCGUUAGGGACGAAGCCACACCUUUUUUGGGUGUGGUGACGGUACCUUUGUGAAGAAGCACCGGCUAACUACGUG